UUGGAGGGCAAGUCUGGUGCCAGCAGCCGCGGUAAUUCCAGCUCCAAUAGCGUAUAUUAAAGUUGUUGCAGUUAAAAAGCUCGUAGUUGAAUUUCGGGAUUAGUACGUUGGUCGUGCCUUAGGUACGUACUGGUGUUACUGGUUCCUACCUUCUGACGAACCAUCAUGUCAUUCAUUUGGUGUGGCGGGGAAUCAGGACUGUUACUUUGAAAAAAUUAGAGUGUUUAAAGCAGGCUCGCGCUUGAAUACAUUAGCAUGGAAUAAUGAAAUAGGACGUUGAUCCUAUUUUGUUGGUUUCUAGGAUUGACGUAAUGAUUAAUAGGGAUAGUUGGGGGCAUUAGUAUUCAAUUGUCAGAGGUGAAAUUCUUGGAUCUAUUGAAGACUAACUACUGCGAAAGCAUUUGCCAAGGAUGUUUUCAUUAAUCAAGAACGAAAGUUAGGGGAUCGAAGACGAUCAGAUACCGUCGUAGUCUUAACCAUAAACUAUGCCGACUAGGGAUCGGAUGAUGUUAUUUUUAAUGACUCAUUCGGCGCCUUACGGGAAAC
rnacentral:rRNA from 1 species